rnacentral:rRNA from 1 species
UACGGGGGGGGCAAGCGUUGUUCGGAGUUACUGGGCGUAAAGCGCUCGUAGGCGGCUUGCUAAGUCAGACGUGAAAUCCCUCAGCUCAACUGGGGAACUGCGUCUGAGACUGGCGAGCUUGAGUGCAGGAGAGGAAUGCGGAAUUCCAGGUGUAGCGGUGAAAUGCGUAGAUAUCUGGAGGAACACCGGUGGCGAAGGCGGCGUUCUGGACUGCAACUGACACUGAGGAACGAAAGCGAGGGGAGCAAACGGG